rnacentral:lncRNA from 1 species
AUGGUUCUUCCCACCCCUCAAGGAGCGCAGCCUCGGCUCCCCCCUGCCAACACUCGAGAGGGAUCUGGGAGCGAGACAUCAGUUAAUCCCACCUCCUUGACAUUUUGGCCGGGAAAGGGAGAAAGCCCACCCGGCUGCUCUGUCCACGCCUCUCGACCGGGAACCCCGGAGGAGCGCUCAAAAGGCGCUUUCCUCCAGAGCGCCCGCGCGCAGAGGCGACAGAGACGCCGCGGCAGCCCAGCUGCGUCCUAUGGAGAGAGAAUUCGGCGGCGCCCUUCUGGCGCGCUCCACACCGGGACGCCUUUCGACCUUUCCCCCAACAGGUGGCGAAGGGCUCUCCGCGGCGGCGGCAGCAACCGAGCGAGCGUGACCGUGCUGCAGGCCACCACGAUCGGAAAGCGAAAUCACUUUAACCCGGACCCGAGGCGAUUUGCCGGACGGAAAACGCGGCCGAAGCCAAGGGAAGAGCUCCGGCCGCGGCUUGGGCUUCUCUUCGCCCCUUCCGGAAGACGAGAGCGCGGCGGCGGCGGCGGCCACUUUUGCCAUUUUAAUUUCCCGCUUCCACGCCUGCCGGGCCGCCCGCUGCCAAGGUUUGGCGCCGGGGCCACAGCACCAUGGACGCGACCGCGACGGCAGCAGCCCCACCAUGAGCGAGAGCACGCCUCCGCGCGGACCAUGUCCCAUGCUCUUUUAAGGAAUAUCUUUCGGAUUCUACUCCUGUACCUAGUUCUGGUGCCAGAUGCGCCAUCCCUUUGCAUGAAGGCAAUCCAAGAAGAGUAUGAGAAUGUGUUAUUCCCCUUCAUUACUUACCUGAACAAUUUGAUCCAGGACACCCCAUCGUGCAAUUCAACUAAGGUGUCUUUGUCCGUGGAAUGGUCCAGGUUAUGUACCAAGUACAUGAAAUCUUGAACAGGAAGGCACAUUGUUGUGAUGUGCCAUCAAAUCGCUUCUGACUGAACUGUAACCCUGAUAGGGUUUUUGAGGUAUGUGAGAUGUUCAUGGAGUGAAUUACUGUUCCUAUAUACCCAGUGAUUUUCUUGGCUGAGUAGGGAUUUGAGCCCUGGUCUCCUGGGUCCUAAUUCAGUACCCUGUUCACUAUACCACAGUGGUUCUCAAGGUACAUUAUACGGCUGAAAUAUUGGGGUAGUUAAGUCAGAUCAUGUUAGAGGUGCAUGGGAGUGUACCUCUGCUAUUGUGUGACCACUCAAAUCUACAUUCUGUAAGGCAUUUCUGAUAGGAGGGGUAAUCCAAACAAAAUGUUACAACUUCUAAGCAGGUUCUUGAAUCAGGACCAUAUUUGACAAAGUGAUUGUAGACAGUAUGGGUGUGCUCUGUGCCAAAUUUGGAGAAGGUUGGACAAGUACUUUUAGAGAUUUUAUUUCUGAUUUUAAAAAUAAACAUUGCUAUUCUCCUGUUCA